rnacentral:rRNA from 1 species
UACGUAGGGCGCAAGCGUUGUCCGGAAUUAUUGGGCGUAAAGAGCUCGUAGGCGGUUUGUCGCGUCUGUCGUGAAAGCUUGGGGCUUAACCCCAAGUCUGCGGUGGAUACGGGCAGACUAGAGGCAGGUAGGGGAGAACGGAAUUCCCGGUGUAGCGGUGAAAUGCGCUGAUAUCGGGAGGAACACCGGUGGCGAAGGCGGUUCUCUGGGCCUGUACUGACGCUGAGGAGCGAAAGCGUGGGGAGCGAACAGG